UACGUAGGGGGCAAGCGUUGUCCGGAAUUACUGGGCGUAAAGCGUGCGCAGGCGGUUUUGCAAGCCGGAUGUGAAAUCCCCGGGCUUAACCUGGGAAUGGCAUUUGGGACUGCAAGGCUGGAGUGCGGCAGAGGAGACUGGAAUUCCUGGUGUAGCAGUGAAAUGCGUAGAUAUCAGGAGGAACACCGAUGGCGAAGGCAGGUCUCUGGGCUGACACUGACGCUCAUGCACGAAAGCGUGGGGAGCAAACAGG
rnacentral:rRNA from 1 species